rnacentral:rRNA from 1 species
GAUGAACGCUGGCGGCGUGCCUAAUACAUGCAAGUCGAGCGAACAGACGAGGAGCUUGCUCCUCUGACGUUAGCGGCGGACGGGUGAGUAACACGUGGAUAACCUACCUAUAAGACUGGGAUAACUUCGGGAAACCGGAGCUAAUACCGGAUAAUAUAUUGAACCGCAUGGUUCAAUAGUGAAAGACGGUUUUGCUGUCACUUAUAGAUGGAUCCGCGCCGCAUUAGCUAGUUGGUAAGGUAACGGCUUACCAAGGCGACGAUGCGUAGCCGACCUGAGAGAGGGGUCGCCCACACUGGAACUGGGACACGGUCCAUACUCCUACGGGAGGCAGCAGUAGGGAAUCUUCCGCAAUGGGCGAAAGCCUGGCGGAGCAACGCCGCGUGAGUGAUGAAGGUCUUCGGAUCGUAAAACUCUGUUAUUAGGGAAGAACAAAUGUGUAAGUAACUAUGCACGUCUUGACGGUACCUAAUCAGAAAGCCACGGCUAACUACGUG